rnacentral:tRNA from 1 species
AGCAGCAUGGCUUAGCAGAAAAAGCACUAGGCCUGAAGGCCAGAGAACCUAGGUUCUAAUCCCAGUUCUGCAA